AAAACUUUCAACAACGGAUCUCUAGGUUCUCGCAUCGAUGAAGAACGCAGCGAAAUGCGAUACGUAGUACGAAACGCAAGUCGUGAAUCAUCGAAUCUUUGAACGCACAUUGCGCUGUGCGGCAUUCCGCACAGCAUGCCUGUUUGAGCAAUAUUUC
rnacentral:rRNA from 1 species